CGAGCGCGUGAUAUUCCAUGAUCUCUUCGGAGUGAUUGGGAUGGAUCGAGCGGCGGACGGGUGAGUAACACGUGGGUAACCUGCCUGUAAGCUCGGAAUAACCCCGGGAAACCGGAGCUAAUGCCGAAUGUGAUCAACGCACCGCAUGGUGCGAUGAAUAAAGACGGCUUUGUCGUCACUUACAGAGGGGCCCGCGGCGCAUUAGCUUGUUGGUGAGGUUAAAGCUCACCAAGGCCACGAUGCGUAGCCGACCUGAGAGGGUGAUCGGCCACACUGGGACUGAGACACGGCCCAGACUCCUACGGGAGGCAGCAGUAGGGAAUCAUCCGCAAUGGACGAAAGUCUGACGGUGCAACGCCGCGUGAGUGAUGAAGGUCUUCGGAUCGUAAAGCUCUGUUGUCAGCGAAGAACACGUGCCAUAGGUAAUGAUGGCACCUUGACGGUAUCUGACCAGAAAGCCCCGGCUAACUACGUGCCAGCAGCCGCGGUAAUACGUAGGGGGCAAGCGUUGUCCGGAAUUAUUGGGCGUAAAGCGCGCGCAGGCGGCUUCUUAA
rnacentral:rRNA from 1 species